rnacentral:rRNA from 1 species
AGUGAACGCUGGCGGCAGGCCUAAUACAUGCCAGUCGAACGGCAGCACAGUGGAGCUUGCUCCAUGGGUGGCGAGUGGCGGACGGGUGAGGAAUACAUGGGAAUCUGCCCAGUCGUGGGGGAUAACGUAGGGAAACUUACGCUAAUACCGCAUGCGCCCUUCGGGGGAAAGCCGGGGACCUUCGGGCCUGGCGCGAUUGGAUGAGCCCAUGUUCGAUUAGCUAGUUGGCGGGGUAAAGGCCCACCAAGGCGACGAUCGAUAGCUGGUCUGAGAGGAUGAUCAGCCACACUGGGACUGAGACACGGCCCAGACUCCUACGGGAGGUAGCAGUAGGGAAUAUUGGACAAUGGGCGCAAGCCUGAUCCAGCCAUGCCGCGUGAGUGAAGAAGGCCCUCGGGUUGUAAAGCUCUUUUGUCCGGGAAGAAAAGCAUCGGGCUAAUACCUCGGUGUUCUGACGGUACCGGAAGAAUAAGCACCGGCUAACUUCGUG